rnacentral:rRNA from 1 species
AUUGAACGCUGGCGGCAGGCUUAACACAUGCAAGUCGAGCGGGGUGAUGGUGCUUGCACUAUCACUUAGCGGCGGACGGGUGAGUAAUGCUUAGGAAUCUGCCUAUUAGUGGGGGACAACAUCUCGAAAGGGAUGCUAAUACCGCAUACGUCAUACGGGAGAAAGCAGGGGAUCACUUGUGACCUUGCGCUAAUAGAUGAGCCUAAGUCGGAUUAGCUAGUUGGUGGGGUAAAGGCCUACCAAGGCGACGAUCUGUAGCGGGUCUGAGAGGAUGAUCCGCCACACUGGGACUGGGACACGGCCCAGACUCCUACGGGAGGCAGCAGUGGGGAAUAUUGGACAAUGGGGGGAACCCUGAUCCAGCCAUGCCGCGUGUGUGAAGAAGGCCUUAUGGUUGUAAAGCACUUUAAGCGAGGAGGAGGCUCUUUUGGUUAAUACCCAAGAUGAGUGGACGUUACUCGCAGAAUAAGCACCGGCUAACUCUGUGCCAGCCGCCGCGGUAA